UACGAAGGGGGCUAGCGUUGCUCGGAUUGACUGGGCGUAAAGGGCGCGUAGGCGGUUCGUACAGUCAGACGUGAAAUUCCUGGGCUCAACCUGGGGGCUGCGUUUGAUACGUGCGGACUUGAGUGCGGAAGAGGGUCGUGGAAUUCCCAGUGUAGAGGUGAAAUUCGUAGAUAUUGGGAAGAACACCGGUGGCGAAAGCGGCUUCCUGGCCCGACAUUGACGCUCAUGUACGAAAGCGUGGGGAGCAAACAGG
rnacentral:rRNA from 1 species